rnacentral:rRNA from 1 species
UACGUAGGGGGCAAGCGUUGUCCGGAUUUAUUGGGCGUAAAGAGCGUGUAGGCGGCCUGAUAGGUCAGCUGUGAAAACUCGAGGCUCAACCUCGAGACGUCGGUUGAAACCAUCUGGCUAGAGUCCGGAAGAGGAGUGUGGAAUUCCCGGUGUAGCGGUGAAAUGCGCAGAUAUCGGGAAGAACACCCGUGGCGAAGGCGGCACUCUGGGACGGUACUGACGCUGAGACACGAAAGCGUGGGGAGCGAACAGG